rnacentral:rRNA from 1 species
AGAGUUUGAUCCUGGCUCAGAACGAACGCUGGCGGCGUGCCUAACACAUGCAAGUCGAACGAGAAAGGGGCUUCGGCCCUGAGUAAAGUGGCGUACGGGUGAGUAACACGUGGGUGAUCUACCCUUUGGUGGGGAAUAACCCUGGGAAACCGGGGCUAAUACCGCAUAAUCCCGAGAGGGAAAAGCAGCAAUGCGCCGAAGGAGGAGCCCGCGGCCGAUUAGCCAGUUGGUGGGGUAAAGGCCCACCAAAGCUACGAUCGGUAGCCGGCCUGAGAGGGCACACGGCCACACUGGCACUGAAACACGGGCCAGACUCCUACGGGAGGCAGCAGUGGGGAAUCUUGCACAAUGGGGGAAACCCUGAUGCAGCGACGCCGCGUGAGCGAUGAAGCCCUUCGGGGUGUAAAGCUCUUUCGGCAGGGAAGAUUAUGACGGUACCUGCAGAAGCAGCUGCGGCUAACUACGUGCCAGCAGCCGCGGUAAUACGUAGGCAGCAAGCGUUGUUCGGAGUUACUGGGCGUAAAGGGUGUGUAGGCGGCUUUUUAAGUUUGGUGUGAAAUCUCCCGGCUCAACU